ACAUACGACCACAGGGAGUGAAAAAAAAAAAAAAAAAAAAAAAAAAAAACAGGGCUUCCCGUCCGCUCAGCCGUACCCAAGCCACUCGCCGGCCGGUUAGUUAGUUGGCUGGGUGACCACCAGCGAAUCCCGGCUGUCGUAUGUU
rnacentral:rRNA from 1 species